GAAGAACGCUGGCAGCGUGCCUAAUACAUGCAAGUCGAGCGAACAGACGAGGAGCUUGCUCCUCUGAUGUUAGCGGCGGACGGGUGAGUAACACGUGGGUAACCUACCUAUAAGACUGGGAUAACUUCGGGAAACCGGAGCUAAUACCGGAUAACAUGUUGAACCGCAUGGUUCAACAGUGAAAGACGGUCUUGCUGUCACUGAUAGAUGGAUCCGCGCCCCAUUAGCUUGUUGGUAAGGUACCGGCUUACCAAGGAAACGAUGCGUAGCCGACCUGAGAGGGUGAUCGGCCACACUGGAACUGAGACACGGUCCAGACUCCUACGGGAGGCAGCAGUAGGGAAUCUUCCGCAAUGGGCGAAAGCCUGACGGAGCAACGCCGCGUGAGUGAAGAAGGUCUUCGGAUCGUAAAACUCUGUUAUUAGGGAAGAACAAAUGUGUAAGUAACUAUGCACGUCUUGACGGUACCUAAUCAGAAAGCCACGGCUAACUACGUGCCAGCCGCCGCCGUAA
rnacentral:rRNA from 1 species